CGGACGGGUGAGUAAUGUCUGGGAAACUGCCCGAUGGAGGGGGAUAACUACUGGAAACGGUAGCUAAUACCGCAUAACGUCGCAAGACCAAAGAGGGGGACCUUCGGGCCUCUUGCCAUCGGAUGUGCCCAGGUGGGAUUAGCUAGUAGGUGGGGUAACGGCUCACCUAGGCGACGAUCCCUAGCUGGUCUGAGAGGAUGAUCAGCCACACUGGGACUGAGACACGGCCCAG
rnacentral:rRNA from 1 species